rnacentral:rRNA from 1 species
GACGAAGGAUGCAAGCGUUAUCCGGAUUCAUUGGGUUUAAAGGGAGCGUAGGUGGACUGAUAAGUCAGUGGUGAAAUCUCUGGGCUUAACCCAGAAAUUGCCAUUGAUACUGUUGGUCUUGAGUACAGUUGCUGUGGGCGGAAUAUGACAUGUAGUGGUGAAAUACAUAGAGAUGUCAUAGAACACCGAUUGCGAAGACAGCUCACGAAGGCGAAACUGACACUGAGGCACGAAAGCGUGGGGAUCGAACAGG